AAUUAUAUGUAUGAUGCAU
rnacentral:snRNA from 1 species